rnacentral:rRNA from 1 species
UAUCUAUUUAAUUCUGGUUGUAGAAGGUGAAAAGGCAGGACUACAUAAAACAGGUUUAUGAGAUUAAUAAGAGGUUUCAUUAUUAGGGUUUAGUAGCUAGAUCUUAGUUUUCGGAGAAAUCCGGAUUAGGUUGUCUUUUUUAAAGUGGUGAAUACUCAGUGCCAGCAUCCGCGGUUAUUCUGUUAGCUUUAUCUUCGGUAGUAGGUUUAAACGAUUUAAAAGUUAUUGGCUAGUGAGGGGUAGAAUCUUUCUGGUUUAAAAACAGGCUUUUAAAGGAUUUUAUAUCAAGGUUUAUUAAGGGGAUUAGAUACCCCCGUAAUCUUGCUUAAAUUUUGUUCCUUAGUAAAAACUAAAAGGAUUUGGCAGCCGACGAGGUUCUUCCGGGGGAGCGUGUAUCAUAAAAGAUAGUCCGCUUAAGAAUCAACCCUCUUUAGUUUAGUUAGUGUAUAUCCGGUUUAAGAUUUGUGGUUAAUGUCUAUGAGUGUAACUAUUCGUUUAAUCCAGGUCUAUGUGCUGCUUAUAUUGGGGGGCUUAUGCGCUACAUUAUUAAAUGGGCUGAUGGGAAGUUUAUCAGUUAAGUUAAGGACUCGGAAGUAGGCUUUGAAGUUAGUAUGUUAAGUCGAAAAUGAUUUAGUUGGGGUACACACCGCCCGUCACCCAGGGCGAUAGCUGUGGUAAGUCGUAACAUGGUAAUACUAGGGGAACCUGGUGUUAGUUGAUUCGUUGCGUAUUUUGCGCGGGUUU